GCCGAAAUAGCUCAGCUGGUAGAGCACUUCACUCGUAAUGAAGGGGUCGAGGGUUCGAGUCCCUUUUUCGGCU
rnacentral:tRNA from 1 species